ensembl:lncRNA
CGGGGGGUGGGCGUGGAAAGGAUUUUGGCCCGAUCCGCCAUUUUGGGGGUCUAGCGCAAGUGAAAAGGGAGCGAAGGCACACACAACAGCCACGGUUCGUAUUUGCUGUGUGGUCGGCUGCAAUGUUCGAUCACACGACCGGCAAGAGAAUAAGCUUGAAAAUGGUUUAUCUUUUCAUUCUUUCCCAACCUGGAAGCAACAUGAGGCAGCUCGUGUAUCGAUGUUACCAAACGAAGGCGUCCAGCCUGGAGAGCAGCUGUGAGACGAGCUCCAGUUCUCUUCCAUCUCCAAAUAUCUGUUGGUGCUCCAGACAUUUUCAUUCCGCAGACCAGCCCAUGAAAUGGAUGAAACAUCGUGACUGGUUUCCAGCGCUACACAAGGGACCUGCUGCAAACAAACCACCAUGCCAAUCAGAUUACUUCUUCCAUGUGAGGGUGAAGAGGUGACCCUCCUGGAUAAGAUGGUGAAGGUUUGCUGCGUUUUGGUGAACAGUGUGAUAAUAAAACCAGGGAAGAAUGAAACCUGCUCCUGUUAAAUAUUCUUAAGUCUUGUGCUGUUAAAAUUGCUGUAUUUUUUUCAAAAGAUACAGUAAAUAAAGUUAGUAGUGGGUGAUAUCAUGUAAACACUCAUGAUUUUGUGUAAACAUUUUGUCAUUUGUAAACUAU